rnacentral:rRNA from 1 species
UACGGGGGGAGCAAGCGUUGUUCGGAUUUACUGGGCGUAAAGGGCGCGUAGGCGGCCACCGCAAGUCGACUGUGAAAUCUCCGGGCUUAACCCGGAAAGGUCAGCCGAUACUGCGGGGCUAGAGUGCAGAAGGGGCAACUGGAAUUCUCGGUGUAGCGGUGAAAUGCGUAGAUAUCGAGAGGAACACCUGCGGCGAAGGCGGGUUGCUGGGCUGACACUGACGCUGAGGCGCGAAAGCUAGGGGAGCGAACGGU